UUCUGCGGAUUAAUGGCAAUUUCCUACUCGCAUUUGGGCAUUCCUGAUGCAAGAUGCCCACCAUACGGUUCGGAAUGUCCUUCAGCGCAACCGACAUAUUUGCCACACGAAUUUGACGACACUCAGUUUUAUGUUUGCGCUCAAGGACGAAGAGUUAAUCUUACUUGCCCACAUGGUACUCGUUUUAAUCUGACACAAAAUGCUUGUGCUUGGCCUCAUGUUGCAGGAGGAAAUUGUUUGGAAUCUUCAGCGACAAGUGAAAGUACGCAUCCAACUACUCAAAGUUUUUCAACAACAUCUAGAAGUACGACUUCACACCCUUGGACUUCUUCAACGAAACAUAAAAGUAAAACUUCAACAACUCCGAAAUCUAAAACGACAUCUAAAAGUACAACUUUACCCCCAUCUGAAAGUCAUCCCAAUUUUCGUUCAAAGUUUUUAUCCCAUGACUCAUUCCAGAAGUCGAUAAAACAAUGGAACAAAAUGAGGAACAAGUUUUUCUCACACUUUUUCAAAAAACAUUAAAAAAGUUUUUGUUAAACUUUAGGUUUUUAAAUAAUUUUAGC